rnacentral:rRNA from 1 species
UGGGGAAUAUUGGACAAUGGGGGAAACCCUGAUCCAGCGAUGCCGCGUGUGUGAAGAAGGCCUGCGGGUUGUAAAGCACUUUCAGUUGGGAAGAUAGUUUGUAGGGGAAUAUCCUGCAGAUGAGACGUUACUAACAAAAGAAGCACCGGCUAACUCUGUGCCAGCAGCCGCGGUAAUACAGAGGGUGCGAGCGUUAAUCGGAAUUACUGGGCGUAAAGGGCGCGUAGGCGGCCCUCUAAGUCAGACGUGAAAUCCCCUGGCUUAACCUGGGAACUGCGUCUGAUACUGGAGGGCUUGAGUAUGGGAGAGGGGAUGUAGAAUUCCAGGUGUAGCGGUGAAAUGCGUAGAUAUCUGGAGGAAUACCGGUGGCGAAGGCGGCAUCCUGGACCAUUACUGACGCUGAGGCGCGAAAGCUAGGGGAGCAAACGGGAUUAGAUACCCAAGUAGUCCCUGAGCGGGCUGGCAAGGCGCAU